rnacentral:misc_RNA from 1 species
UUUCCGUAGGUGAACCUGCGGAAGGAUCAUUAAAGAGUAAGGGUCUUCGGGCCCGAUCUCCAACCCUUUGUUUAACUACCAUGUUGCUUUGGCGGGCCCGUCUCACGACCGCCGGAAGUUUGGCUUCGACCAAACUUCUGGCCCGUGCCCGUCAGUGGCCCCUUCAAAUUCUUGAUCAAGUAUGAUGUCUUAGUUAAAAACUUAAUAGUUAAAACUUUCAACAACGGAUCUCUUGGUUCUGGCAUCGAUGAAAAACGCAGC